UGACUGCGUACCUUUUGUAUAAUGGGUCAGCGACUUAUAUUCAGUGGCAAGGUUAACCAUCUAGGGGAGCCGUAGGGAAACCGAGUCUUAACUGGGCGUUCAGUCUCUGGAUAUAGACCCGAAACCAGGUGAUCUAGCCAUGGGCAGGUUGAAGGUUGAGUAACAUCAACUGGAGGACCGAACCGACUAAUGUUGAAAAAUUAGCGGAUGACUUGUGGCUAGGGGUGAAAGGCCAAUCAAACCUGGAGAUAGCUGGUUCUCCCCGAAAGCUAUUUAGGUAGCGCCUCGGACGAAUACUACUGGGGGUAGAGCACUGUUAAGGCUAGGGGGUCAUCCCGACUUACCAACCCUUUGCAAACUCCGAAUACCAGUAAGUACUAUCCGGGAGACACACGGCGGGUGCUAACGUCCGUCGUGGAGAGGGAAACAACCCAGACCGCCAGCUAAGGUCCCAAAUUAUAGCUAAGUGGGAAACGAUGUGGGAAGGCUUAGACAGCUAGGAUGUUGGCUUAGAAGCAGCCAUCAUUUAAAGAAAGCGUAAUAGCUCACUAGUCGAGUCGGCCUGCGCGGAAGAUGUAACGGGGCUAAGCUAUAAACCGAAGCUGCGGCAAUGAAGUUUACUUCAUUGGGUAGGGGAGCGUUCUGUAAGCCGUUGAAGGUGAGUUGUAAAGCUUGCUGGAGGUAUCAGAAGUGCGAAUGCUGACAUGAGUAACGAUAAAGGGGGUGAAAAACCUCCUCGCCGGAAGACCAAGGGUUCCUGUCCAACGUUAAUCGGGGCAGGGUAAGUCGACCCCUAAGGCGAGGCCGAAAGGCGUAGUCGAUGGGAAACGGGUUAAUAUUCCCGUACUUCUUACAAUUGCGAUGGGGGGACGGAGAAGGCUAGGUGGGCCUGGCGACGGUUGUCCAGGUUCAAGUGUGUAGGCUGAAGAGUUAGGUAAAUCCGGCUCUUCUUAAGGCUGAGACACGACGUCGAGCUACUACGGUAGUGAAGUCAUUGAUGCCAUGCUUCCAGGAAAAGCCUCUAAGCUUCAGAUUGUAAGGAAUCGUACCCCAAACCGACACAGGUGGUCGGGUAGAGAAUACCAAGGCGCUUGAGAGAACUCGGGUGAAGGAACUAGGCAAAAUGGUACCGUAACUUCGGGAGAAGGUACGCUCUCGACGGUGAAGUCCCUCGCGGAUGGAGCUAUUGAGAGUCGCAGAUACCAGGUGGCUGCAACUGUUUAUUAAAAACACAGCACUGUGCAAAAUCGUAAGAUGACGUAUACGGUGUGACGCCUGCCCGGUGCCGGAAGGUUAAUUGAUGGGGUUAGACUUCGGUCGAAGCUCUUGAUCGAAGCCCCGGUAAACGGCGGCCGUAACUAUAACGGUCCUAAGGUAGCGAAAUUCCUUGUCGGGUAAGUUCCGACCUGCACGAAUGGCGUAAUGAUGGCCACGCUGUCUCCACCCGAGACUCAGUGAAAUUGAAAUCGCUGUGAAGAUGCAGUGUACCCGCGGCUAGACGGAAAGACCCCGUGAACCUUUACUACAGCUUGGCACUGAACAUUGACCCUACAUGUGUAGGAUAGGUGGGAGGCUUUGAAACCAGCACGCCAGUGUUGGUGGAGCCGUCCUUGAAAUACCACCCUUGUAGUGUUGAUGUUCUAACGUCGACCCCUUAUCGGGGUUACGGACAGUGCCUGGUGGGUAGUUUGACUGGGGCGGUCUCCUCCCAAAGCGUAACGGAGGAGCACGAAGGUGGGCUAAUCACGGUUGGACAUCGUGAGGUUAGUGCAAUGGCAUAAGCCCGCUUGACUGCGAGAAUGACAAUUCGAGCAGGUGCGAAAGCAGGUCAUAGUGAUCCGGUGGUUCUGAAUGGAAGGGCCAUCGCUCAACGGAUAAAAGGUACUCCGGGGAUAACAGGCUGAUACCGCCCAAGAGUUCAUAUCGACGGCGGUGUUUGGCACCUCGAUGUCGGCUCAUCACAUCCUGGGGCUGAAGUCGGUCCCAAGGGUAUGGCUGUUCGCCAUUUAAAGUGGUACGCGAGCUGGGUUUAGAACGUCGUGAGACAGUUCGGUCCCUAUCUGCCGUGGGCGUUGGAAGAUUGAAGGGGGCUGCUCCUAGUACGAGAGGACCGGAGUGGACGAACCUCUGGUGUUCGGGUUGUGUCGCCAGACGCAUUGCCCGGUAGCUAAGUUCGGAAUCGAUAACCGCUGAAAGCAUCUAAGCGGGAAGCGAGCCCUGAGAUGAGUCUUCCCUGAUACUUUAAGUAUCCUAAAGGGUUGU
rnacentral:rRNA from 1 species